rnacentral:lncRNA from 13 species
GUUUAUUUUCAUAUAUCUGAUGGUUGUUUAUAGUGUUCGGUGAUAUUUAUAGAUCUCACCUUUUUUCAUGGUAGAGUAACAAUCACUGUUCCUUUGUAGAGGUUCCAUCAGCCUCGGUUCCUGAGUAACCAUAACACAGGACUAACUUGAGAUGGACACAUAGCCUGAGUAAGAAAUCAGACUUGAAGGUUUCUGAAGUACUACAGAAUAACCCAAGUCUUCACAGUUGCCUCAUUGUGCUUGGCAACCACAGGCAGAGCCUGACCCAUUCAAUAACUUUCUCUGUCUUCACUACCUACCUUCAUGGCUCCUGUCAAUCGAAGUCAUUAUGCAGGUAACUUGCAGUUUCCAUUUGUACAAAAUUUCUGUUGACCAAUAAAUAUGAAAAAUUCAAUAUUUUGGUCA